rnacentral:lncRNA from 1 species
UUGCAGGUGCUGAAGCACACAGGCCUCUGCAUUGGCCCUCAGUGUGAGCUCACAGCAGGACUUUUGGACUGAAAGCAGAAAGACGACCAUCUGAGAUGUUCCUGUCUCUUCAAAACGUCAGAAGAUGAAACGACACUCUCCAGAACACUUACCGUGGAACCAAUCAAUCAUCCUGACUCUAAACCAGCAACAGGUGAUGAAGACAAGCCAAAACAAUCUGCACUUAAGACAAUCCAUGAGCGAACAAAGAGAACACUGCACUCUUCCAGAAGAGAGAUCUCUCUUUCAGAAAGGACAGGCUCUAACUACUGAACACCCCACAGGUCAGGCCUCCAGAGAGCCAGAGACACUGUUGUGUGUGCAUUAAUCAAU